GGAAUGCGUAGAUAUCAAGAGGAACGCCAGAGGCGAAGGCGGUGCGCUUGGGCUUGACCUGACGCUGAGGUGCGAAAGCCAGGGGAGCGAACGGGAUUAGAUACCCCGGUAGUCCUGGCCAUAAACGAUGUCUACUAGAUCUGAGGUGUUCUGACACACUUCUGGUCGAAACAAAAGCGUUAAGUAGACCGCCUGGGGAGUACGGUCGCAAGGCUAAAACUCAAAGGAAUUGACGGGGGCUCACACAAGCGGUGGAGCAUGUUGCUUAAUUCGAUGCAACGCGAAGAACCUUAUCCUGGGCUUGACAUGCUUGGAUGCCCAUCUAGAAAUAGAGUAGGCUGCCCUUCGGGGUGAAACUUGCACAGGUGCUGCAUGGCUGUCGUCAGCUCGUGUCGUGAGAUGUUGGGUUAAGUCCCGUAACGAGCGAAACCCUUGUCGUUAGUUGCCAGCGAGUAAAGUCGGGGACUCUAACGAGACUGCCGGUGUUAAACCGGAGGAAGGUGGGGAUGACGUCAAGUCCUCAUGGCCUUUAUGCCCAGGGCUGCAAACGUGCUACAAUGGCGUGUACAAACCGAUGCAAGACCGCGAGGUGGAGCAAAUCGGAAAAAGCACGCCCCAGUUCGGAUUGGAGUCUGCAACUCGACUCCAUGAAGUUGGAAUCGCUAGUAAUCGCAGCUCAGCAAUGCUGCGGUGAAUGUGUUCCUG
rnacentral:rRNA from 1 species